rnacentral:rRNA from 1 species
GAUGAACGCUGGCGGCGUGCCUAAUACAUGCAAGUCGAGCGAACAGACGAGGAGCUUGCUCCUCUGACGUUAGCGGCGGACGGGUGAGUAACACGUGGAUAACCUACCUAUAAGACUGGGAUAACUUCGGGAAACCGGAGCUAAUACCGGAUAAUAUAUUGAACCGCAUGGUUCAAUAGUGAAAGACGGUUUUGCUGUCACUUAUAGAUGGAUCCGCGCCGCAUUAGCUAGUUGGUAAGGUACCGGCUUACCAAGGCAACGAUGCGUAGCCGACCUGAGAGGGUGAUCGGCCACACUGGAACUGAGACACGGUCCAGACUCCUACGGGAGGCAGCAGUAGGGAAUCUUCCGCAAUGGGCGAAAGCCUGGCGGAGCAACGCCGCGUGAGUGAUGAAGGUCUUCGGAUCGUAAAACUCUGUUAUUAGGGAAGAACAAAUGUGUAAGUAACUAUGCACGUCUUGACGGUACCUAAUCAGAAAGCCACGGCUAACUACGUG